ensembl:lncRNA
UGCUGCGUUGCUUUGCCAAGGACCAUGUUAUCUCAUGUAUGUGGGUCAGGCUCAUUCCUCCUCUUGUAGCACAUCACAAAGAAUGCUGCCCUUCCUUGCAUCCAGGCCUCGUCAUCUCCCUCCAGGACAACUGCCAGCACUAUGGCACGAAGCACUUCCUUCCCAGCCCAGGGCUCCUCUUCAUCCUCCCAUUAGGAAUUUCACACGUGGGCUCAACCCUUCAAGUCAAAGCAGCAGCACAUCGUGGCACUGAGGGAUGUGAACCCUGAUUGAAUGCUACCUCCAGAGCUAACAGACUUCUGGGGGCUGAUCGGCGGAGCUGGGAUUACAACCAACAGCCCCCAGGUGGACGUGCCCUGCUCUCCCAUCCUGCCUGCUGAUUUCCCUCACGAGGUGUGAAACUACUUGCAAAAGCAAAAAUAUUUGUUUUCCCACUUGAGGAAGCCACGACAGCUUGUGACCCGGGGCUCCCACCAUCUGCCACACACGUUGCCCACUUGGUGACACCUUCAUGCGUUCAGCAGCUUCGAGAAAACCCCGACGGGAAGCUCUGCAGCCAGCAGGAUAUGCUGCUGAUUUCUCCUUCCUUCUUCCACAAAUGGAUGUGAUGGUGCCACGGCUGCCUCCUGCUCCAGAGGCCAAUCUCCUACCGUAUGCUCUUGGGCAUGGCUCCAUUCUCUGUCUCCUUAGGGAGCAGUGGGCAGGACAAAUGGCAGUGAGUCCCUUCCAAGAGCCUGGACGUGGGUGGCAUUGGGUUGCUCUCACUGCUAGCCAGCCCCCAGCACUGAGCCCUGUGCUCUUUAAUGAGGACAACUCGCUAAAGCAUGAGUGGGUUCAGCAGUUAAUUGCUGGGGAGAGCGCAGGCACUGCGGCUCUUUCAUCCUUGGACAGAGAAGUGGCGCUUUGAAACCUCUUCUGUUUGAUGAAGGGUGCCCACAGAAGGGCUCUGCUCGGGGCACGGGGCUGCUGGGGAAUACAGGAACAGCCUUACAUAGUGGCACAGUGGGGCACAGGGGCUGGGAAGCUG